UACGUAGGGUGCGAGCGUUGUCCGGAAUUAUUGGGCGUAAAGAGCUUGUAGGCGGUCUGUCGCGUCUGCUGUGAAAAUCCGGGGCUCAACCCCGGACUUGCAGUGGGUACGGGCAGACUAGAGUGUGGUAGGGGAGACUGGAAUUCCUGGUGUAGCGGUGAAAUGCGCAGAUAUCGGGAAGAACACCCGUGGCGAAGGCGGUUCUCUGGGACGGUACUGACGCUGAGACGCGAAAGCGUGGGGAGCGAACAGG
rnacentral:rRNA from 1 species